AGUAACGCGUGAGCAACCUGCCUAUGACAGUGGGAUAGCCUCGGGAAACCGGGAUUAAUACCGCAUAAAAUCGUAGAAACACAUGUUUUAGCGGUCAAAGAUUUAUCGGUCAUAGAUGGGCUCGCGUCUGAUUAGCUAGUUGGUGAGAUAACAGCCCACCAAGGCGACGAUCAGUAGCCGGUCUGAGAGGAUGAACGGCCACAUUGGAACUGAGACACGGUCCAA
rnacentral:rRNA from 1 species